CUAAUUAAGGAAGAAUAAAGUCUUUACUUCUCAAAUGUAUUGUAAUUUUGUAUUGCAAAUAAAAAUUCAACAGAUAAGUAGGUAUACUUAUAUAAACUUAAUUUAUUUACAGUUGCAGGCAAAACAUUUCAACAGGAAAUUAAAUAUAGUCUAUAACUAGCAUUGUUCAAGUUUACUUUAAGCAACAAGCUUUGCCUAAUUACAGUAUGUCAUCUUGAGUACUAGGAUUGCUUGGAAUGUGAAAAACAUUACAAGAUUAGAAAAUAACACUUUGGUAAAAAUAAUUGCUAUUCAUAUUUUGCUUUAGGACAAAGCAGCAGAAGCUGUUCAAAGUGGAUGAAAGACUGAAGGUACUGGGAGUGUCGUCCUGUUUGUGCCCGCCCAUCUAGAGGCAAAGCCUCAAGAAGGCUUGCCCAGCUGGGAGGUUCACUUUCUGAUCCUGAUCCUGGCCUGCUGCAGCAACCUCAGCCUUCCACCUGUGUUUGUAUUUUCACAAAUAGAAUAAAGAUUUCACAAAUCUGAAA